rnacentral:lncRNA from 1 species
CGGAGCCGGCGUGCGUGCGCGCCGCGUCUCCCGGGAAGCCCCGGCUGACAGAUGGUCCAUCUCCCGCGCUGACAGAUGAUCUCCCCGUUUCGCUUCCCGACUCCGGCCCCGUAAUUAUAUCCGAGCUCUUUUUGCAGGAGAAGCCGGAGAGGAAAAUCAGCGCUUUCCGCUCGCUUUCUCCCUCCGCCGCGGAGCCCGGGGGGGCUCCGGUGGCAUUUGACACGCGCCGCGCUCGACGAAAUACAGAGCAGAGCCCGGUCCCCCCCCCGCCGCCGCCUCCUCCCCGAGUCACGCCGCGUGCGAUGCUCAGAGCAGGUACCUCCUGGGGUCGGAUCCUGAGGCUUCCCUUCCCUCCGCGCGGAGCUGCCGGAAAGCGCCCGAACCCCGCUGCCUCAUUAGCUGCCUCUGAGCUUAAAUUCCUGAAUUGGGGACUCGCAUCUGGGCUCGUUCGGCGGACGCUUGUCCUCUCAUCCGAAGGUGCCGACGCGGGAGCCGAGCGGCGCCGCGCUUCGCCGUAACGCCGCGGGAUGGGGCCGCGCAGGUAGGCGCCGCGCUGCGAUCCGGAGGGAACGGGCUUGGUGCUGAGGCCGCUCCG